GAUGAAGAACGCAGCGAAAUGCGAUACGUAAUGUGAAUUGCAGAAUUCAGUGAAUCAUCGAAUCUUUGAACGCAUAUUGCGCUCUCUGGUAUUCCGGAGAGCAUGCUUGUUUGAGUAUCAGUAAACACCUCAACUCCCUUUCUUCUUGAAAUGGAGCUGGACUUGAGUGAUCCCAACGCUUUAUUCAUAAAGUGGCGGGUUACUUGAAAUGCAGGUGCAGCUGGACUUUUCUCUGAGCUAUAAGCAUAUCUAUUUAGUCUGCCUCAAAACAGAUUAUUACCUUUGCUGCAGCUAACAUAAAGGAGAUUAGUUCUUGUGCUGACUGAUGCAGGAUUCACAAAGACCGCUUCGGCUGUCUUUGUAAACUCGAUCUCAAAUCAAGUAAGACUACCCGCUGAACUUAAGCAUAUCAAGCGGAGGA
rnacentral:misc_RNA from 1 species